AUUGAACGCUGGCGGCAGGCUUAACCCAUGCAAGUCGAGCGCGCGGCGGACGGGUGAGUAACGUCUGGGAAACUGCCUGAUGGAGGGGGAUAAUUACUGGAAACGGUAGCUAAUACCGCAUAGCAUCAGAUGUUCCCUGAUGGGAGUAGAUAGUAGGUGGGGGAAUGGCUCACCUAGGCGACGAUCCCUAGCUGGUCUGAGAGGAUGACCAGCCACACUGGAACUGAGACACGGUCCAGACUCCUACGGGAGGCAGCAGUGGGGAAUAUUGCACAAUGGGCGCAAGCCUGAUGCAGCAAUGCCGCGGGUGUGAUGAAGGCCUUCGGGUUGCAAAGCACUGUCAGCGAGGAGGCGUUACUCGCAGAGGAAGCACCGGCUAACUCCGUGCCAGCAGCCGCGGUAAUUC
rnacentral:rRNA from 1 species